AGUCAUAUGCUUGUCUCAAAGAUUAAGCCAUGCAUGUCUCAGUAUAAGUCUUCACACGGCGAAACUGCGAAUGGCUCAUUAAAACAGUUAUAGUUUAUCUGAUGUUCAACUGUUACAUGGAUAACUGCGGUAAUCCUGGAGCUAAUACAUGCGUUAAGACCCGACUUCUCGGAAGGGUUGUAUUUAUUAGAUACAGAACCAAUACCUUCGGGUUUUUGGAUGAUUCAUAAUAAACGAACGGAGCGCGUCACUUUGUGGCGCUAUAUCACUCAAGUUUCUGACCUAUCAGCUUUCGACGGUAGGGUAUUGGCCUACCGUGGCAUUGACGGGUAACGGAGAA
rnacentral:rRNA from 1 species